UAAGCCGUUGAAGGUGGCCUGUGAGGGUUGCUGGAGGUAUCAGAAGUGCGAAUGCUGACAUAAGUAACGAUAAAGCGGGUGAAAAGCCCGCUCGCCGGAAGACCAAGGGUUCCUGUCCAACGUUAAUCGGGGCAGGGUGAGUCGACCCCUAAGGCGAGGCCGAAAGGCGUAGUCGAUGGGAAACGGGUUAAUAUUCCCGUACUUGGUGUUACUGCGAAGGGGGGACGGAGAAGGCUAUGUUGGCCGGGCGACGGUUGUCCCGGUUUAAGCGUGUAGGUGUGUGUUCCAGGUAAAUCCGGUUCACUUUAACACUGAGGCGUGACGACGAGGCACUACGGUGCUGAAGCAACAAAUGCCCUGCUUCCAGGAAAAGCCUCUAAGCCUCAGGUAACAUCAAAUCGUACCCCAAACCGACACAGGUGGUCAGGUAGAGAAUACCAAGGCGCUUGAGAGAACUCGGGUGAAGGAACUAGGCAAAAUGGUGCCGUAACUUCGGGAGAAGGCACGCUGACACGUAGGUGAAGUGGUUUACCCAUGGAGCUGAAGUCAGUCGAAGAUACCAGCUGGCUGCAACUGUUUAUUAAAAACACAGCACUGUGCAAACACGAAAGUGGACGUAUACGGUGUGACGCCUGCCCGGUGCCGGAAGGUUAAUUGAUGGGGUUAUCCGUAAGGAGAAGCUCUUGAUCGAAGCCCCGGUAAACGGCGGCCGUAACUAUAACGGUCCUAAGGUAGCGAAAUUCCUUGUCGGGUAAGUUCCGACCUGCACGAAUGGCGUAAUGAUGGCCAGGCUGUCUCCACCCGGGACUCAGUGAAAUUGAACUCGCUGUGAAGAUGCAGUGUACCCGCGGCAAGACGGAAAGACCCCGUGAACCUUUACUAUAGCUUGACACUGAACACUGGUCCUUGAUGUGCAGGAUAGGUGGGAGGCUUUGAAGUGUGGACGCCAGUCUGCAUGGAGCCGUCCUUGAAAUACCACCCUUUAAUGGCUGGUGUUCUAACGUGGGCCCGUGAACCGGGUUGCGGACAGUGUCUGGUGGGUAGUUUGACUGGGGCGGUCUCCUCCUAAAGAGUAACGGAGGAGCACGAAGGUUGGCUAAUCCUGGUCGGACAUCAGGAGGUUAGUGCAAUGGCAUAAGCCAGCUUGACUGCGAGCGUGACGGCGCGAGCAGGUGCGAAAGCAGGUCAUAGUGAUCCGGUGGUUCUGAAUGGAAGGGCCAUCGCUCAACGGAUAAAAGGUACUCCGGGGAUAACAGGCUGAUACCGCCCAAGAGUUCAUAUCGACGGCGGUGUUUGGCACCUCGAUGUCGGCUCAUCACAUCCUGGGGCUGAAGUAGGUCCCAAGGGUAUGGCUGUUCGCCAUUUAAAGUGGUACGCGAGCUGGGUUUAGAACGUCGUGAGACAGUUCGGUCCCUAUCUGCCGUGGGCGCUGGAAGAUUGAGGGGGGCUGCUCCUAGUACGAGAGGACCGGAGUGGACGCAUCACUGGUGUUCGGGUUGUCAUGCCAAUGGCACUGCCCGGUAGCUACAUGCGGAAGAGAUAAGUGCUGAAAGCAUCUAAGCACGAAACUUGCCCCGAGAUGAAUCUUCCCUGAGCCUUUAAGGCUCCUGAAGGAACGUUGAAGACGACGACGUUGAUAGGCCGGGUGUGUAAGCGCAGCGAUGCGUUGAGCUAACCGGUACUAAUGAACCGUGAGGCUUAACCUUACAACGCCGAAG
rnacentral:rRNA from 2 species